AGAGUUUGAUCCUGGCUCAGAACGAACGCUGGCGGCGUGGAUAAGACAUGCAAGUCGAACGCUGAUUAUGGGGUAGCAAUAUUCCGUAGUCGGAGUGGCGCAAGGGUGCGUAACACGUGGGCAAUUUGCCGUGAAGUUGGGGAUAACUUGCUGAAAGGCGAGCUAAUACCGAAUGCAAUUGCUGAGAGGCAUCUCCUGGCUUUCAAAGUUGGGGACCGUAAGGCCUGACGCUUCACGAUAAGCCCGCGGCCCAUCAGCUAGUUGGUGAGGUAACGGCCCACCAAGGCUAAGACGGGUAGCUGGUCUGAGAGGACGACCAGCCUCACUGGAACUGAGACACGGUCCAGACACCUACGGGUGGCAGCAGUCGAGAAUUUUUCACAAUGGGCGAAAGCCUGAUGGAGCGACGCCGCGUGGGGGAUGAAUGGCUUCGGCCCGUAAACCCCUGUCAUUUGCGAACAAACUCUGCGAUUUAAAAGAUGGCAGAUUGAUAGUAGCGGAAGAGGAAGGGACGGCUAACUCUGUGCCAGCAGCCGCGGUA
rnacentral:rRNA from 1 species